AUUGAACGCUGGCGGCAGGCCUAACACAUGCAAGUCGAGCGGAUGACGGGAGCUUGCUCCUUGAUUCAGCGGCGGACGGGUGAGUAAUGCCUAGGAAUCUGCCUGGUAGUGGGGGACAACGUUUCGAAAGGAACGCUAAUACAGCAUACGUCCUACGGGAGAAAGCAGGGGACCUUCGGGCCUUGCGCUAUCAGAUGAGCCUAGGUCGGAUUAGCUAGUAGGUGAGGUAAUGGAUCACCUAGGCGACGAUCCGUAACUGGUAUGAGAGGAUGAUCAGUCACACUGUAACUGAGACACGGGCCAGACUCCUACGGGAGGCAGCAGUGGGGAAUAUUGGACAAUGGGCGAAGGCCUGAUCCAGCCAUGCCGCGUGUGUGAAGAAGGUCUUCGGAUUGUAAAGCACUUUAAGUUGGGAGGAAGGGCAGUAAGUUAUUACCUCGCUGUUUUGACGUUACCGACAGAAUAAGCACCGGCUAACUCUGUGCCAGCCGCCGUCGUAAGAC
rnacentral:rRNA from 1 species